CGUAGGUAACCUGCCUGGUAGCGGGGGAUAACUAUUGGAAACGAUAGCUAAUACCGCAUAAGAGUAGAUGUUGCAUGACAUUUGCUUAAAAGGUGCAAUUGCAUCACUACCAGAUGGACCUGCGUUGUAUUAGCUAGUUGGUGAGGUAACGGCUCACCAAGGCGACGAUACAUAGCCGACCUGAGAGGGUGAUCGGCCACACUGGGACUGAGACACGGCCCAG
rnacentral:rRNA from 2 species